rnacentral:rRNA from 1 species
GGAAUAUUGGACAAUGGGCGCAAGCCUGAUCCAGCCAUGCCGCGUGAGUGAUGAAGGCCCUAGGGUUGUAAAGCUCUUUCAACGGUGAAGAUAAUGACGGUAACCGUAGAAGAAGCCCCGGCUAACUUCGUGCCAGCAGCCGCGGUAAUACGGAGGGGGCUAGCGUUGUUCGGAAUUACUGGGCGUAAAGGGCGCGUAGGCGGACCAUCAAGUCAGGGGUGAAAGGCCUGGGCUCAACCCGGGAACUGCCUUUGAAACUGAAGGUCUAGAGUCCGAGAGAGGAUAGCGGAAUUCCCAGUGUAGAGGUGAAAUUCGUAGAUAUUGGGAAGAACACCAGUGGCGAAGGCGGCUAUCUGGCUCGGAACUGACGCUGAGGCGCGAAAGCGUGGGGAGCA